UACGUAGGGUGCAAGCGUUAAUCGGAAUUACUGGGCGUAAAGCGUGCGCAGGCGGUUUUGUAAGUCUGACGUGAAAUCCCCCGGGCUCAACCUGGGAAUUGCGAUGGAGACUGCAAGGCUAGAAUCUGGCAGAGGGGGGGUAGAAUUCCACGUGUAGCAGUGAAAUGCGCAGAUAUCAGGAGGAACACCAAUGGCGAAGGCAGCACUCUGGGACGUGACUGGACGCUGAAGACGCGAAAAACGUGGGGAGCAAACAGG
rnacentral:rRNA from 1 species